UACGGAGGAUGCAAGCGUUAUCCGGAAUGAUUGGGCGUAAAGCGUCCGCAGGUGGCUGUGUAAGUCUGCUGUUAAAGAGUGAGGCUCAACCUCAUAAAAGCAGUGGAAACUACACGGCUAGAGUGCGUUCGGGGCAGAGGGAAUUCCUGGUGUAGCGGUGAAAUGCGUAGAUAUCAGGAAGAACACCGGUGGCGAAAGCGCUCUGCUAGGCCGCAACUGACACUGAGAGACGAAAGCCAGGGGAGCAAACGGG
rnacentral:rRNA from 1 species